rnacentral:tRNA from 1 species
GUUUUAAUAGUUUAUAAAAACAUUGGUCUUGUAAACCAAAGAUAAGGAUAGCCCCCCACUUUAAACUA